rnacentral:rRNA from 1 species
GCCCGGAGAUGGAUUCUGAGACACGAAUCCAGACCCUACGGGGUGCAGCAGGCGCGAAAACUUGGCAAUGCGAGAAAUCGUGACCAGGGAACUCCAAGUGGCUGGGGUAAGACCCAGUCUUUUCUUGACUCUUCAAAGGUCUUGGAAUAAGAGGUGGGUAAGGACGGUGCCAGCCGCCGCGGUAAUACCGGCGCCUCAAGUGGUAGUCGAUUUUAUUGGGCCUAAAACGUCCGUAGCCUGUUUGGUACAUUCGUGGGUAAAUCAACCAGCUCAACUGGUUGAAUUCUGCGAGCACGGCCAGACUUGGGACCGGGAGAGGUGUGGGGUACGCUCAGGGUAGGGGUAAAAUCCUGUCAUCCUGAGCGGACCACCUGUUGCGAAGGCGCCACACUAGAACGGAUCCGACGGUCAGGGACGAAGCCUAGGGGCACGAACCGGAUUAGAUACCCGGGUAGUCCUAGGUGUAAACGCUGUGGACUUGGUGUUGGGGAUUCUCCGAGGAUCUUCAGUGCCGAAGCGAAGGUGAUAAGUCCACUGCCUGGGGAGUACGGUCGCAAGGCUGAAACUUAAAGGAAUUGGCGGGGGAGCACCGCAACCUGAGGAUUGUGCGGUUUAAUUGGAUUCAACGCCGGAA